GUGUAUGUCCACUCCACUGUCCAACUUGUGGAAUCUGGGCCAGGAAUAGUGAGCCCUGGAGGAUCCUUCAAAUUAAUGUGCAAAGUGACAGGGGACUCCAUCAAGAACGUGUACUGGGAGUGGAUCCGCCAGGCUCCAGGAAAAGGACUGGAAUGGGUGGGCCAGAUAGACUGGGCUAAUAAUAACUGGAGGACAUCCUAUGCCUCAUCCCUCCAAAGCCGAACAACCCUGACAGCCGAUUCCUCCCGCAAUGAGUAUUAUUUGGCAAUGAGUUCCCUGACAGCUGCAGACUCAGCCACAUAUUACUGUGCAUGA